CCUCCGCUAUGUGGGCGGUGACCCGCCCGUGACGUAAGCUCCAGACGCCUGAGAAGUGGAAGGACCCGGCGUCCAGGACAGGAAAGUGCGUGAUUUACAGCUAGAGGGAUAGGCGCUGUCCCGGAGCCCGUCCUGGGCCAGGGAGCAGGAGAGGGAGGGACUACAGUUCCCGACGCGCUGCGGGGCGGGCGGAGAUCGUGCGCUUCGGCGCCAGUUGCACGGCCUUAGCAGCCAGUGGCGGCUCCCCUGCUCCUGUAACAGUCCCCUUGUCUUCUGACCUUUCGCUCCUCGGUCAUGUGUCCUCGCCGGUCGCCGCGGCAGCCAGUGAUGCCCGAGCGGCGGGUUCCCAGGCCCAGGUGUGGGCGCCACCGCCCACCAUGCGCCAAGCCCAGAGCCUGGUUGAAUCGUUCGCCACCUUGUCUACCCAUUUUGGCCAUUAUCCUGCCACCUCCAAAUCCUGUUUUUGACACUUCUCGGGAGAGAGAGAAAACGGAAAGAUAAAGGAAUAAACUCCUCGUGGUCGUAGUUAGUGGGUAAAUUCAGAUCUCGUUUGAACCGAGGUUUUUCUUAUCUCCAGCCACCGUAUCCACCACCACCAGAAUCGUCUUUUUAGUCAUCACAGCUGGUCGCCGUCAGUACCUUGUUCAGAAGCCUCUCGCAGCUUCCAUCGUGUGGUUAUACAAUCCAAAUUCCUUAUAAAGUCCAAAUUCAAGAGGAGGAAUGCACGUUUAGUUAAGUUAAUGUCUAGACCUUACCAGCCAAUUUCUAGCUCCUCAGUAUGGAAAUUGCAACUGAAAACACCCCUUCCAAAAAAAGCAGUCUGCAUUUUUCUCUGAGUUUUCUUCUCCAAAUUUCGCACCCCUGACCUUGCUUACACACUCUGGAUACCACCUGCUGUGGAGUGGCGGAAGCAGACAUCCAGCGAUAGCUAAGUUUCCUGUCGUUGACACCCAAGCAAGACAGGCGUGUACCUAACUGAGGACCUGCCGGUGAUAGAAGUCUCAGCUUUUCUCAGAGACAGAUGAGUCUUCCCUUUAAAUGCUGCAAAGUGCUGCAUAGUAGAUGUUAAAUGAAAGUCAGAAAGAAUCAAAUGUGCUGCAAAUAAUUGAAGGCAAAGUCCCAAACCAGAAUGCAGUCCCCUGGCCAGUGACCCUAGAGAUGACGCUGGCUCCGGCGGUGGCUCCAGGUUCCUGAUUGCACAGCUCAUUUGUGGGAAAUUUCUGUGCCACGCAGGCACUUUCUCUGCUACGGAGAGCGGUCCCAACUCACAAGUUGGACUUAGAGCAAGUCUUGCAGCACUGCUUGCCGUAGAACUUGUGGCUGCACAUCCCGUGCUGGGGUACCAGGUAGCACCAGUGGAAGUAGUCUUUGCAGAAGGCAUCUGAAAAUGAGCAGAGCUGCAUUACUCAGCGAUCCCGAGUGCAGCGACUGAUGUUGCCAGCUAAUAGCUCUGUCUGGCAAAUAAAAGCGAAUUUGUCACGCUCUGCGGCUGCUGCAGAGAGGCAGCCCCCAGGUCUGAUGGGGGUCCCGUGGAACCUAUUAUUUUCACAAGAGCCUUCUUGGAAGUUUUCUGCAAAACUGAAAUUUUCUUCUUGUGCUGACCCCACUCACUCAACCACGCAUCUACCCAUUGGAGCCUCUGUUGACUGAAUUUCAAUUCUCCAAUUCUCUGGUUGAGCCAAACCACUCGCCUUCCUCAAGCCACAUUAUCUCUCAGAAUAGCCUUAACAGGCGCCCAGCCAUCUGUCUCCGCAAUGCUGGGGGAUUUUGUGUGUGCACAGGGAUGGCAUUUAGAGGGCACCCAGUGAAUAAGGGAGGCUUUUGUUUAUCCUAGGGAGAAAAGCUGCUUUAGUUAAGAUUGCUUUCUUUAAAUAUAGUGAACAGCAUUGAUAUAGGAAAGAAGUCACGCUUAUGUCACUACCAUCUAUGUUGUCCUGGGGCAUCAUGAGAGGCAGCCCGGUCUGCUCUAUGGACCAUUUCAUUGUAAAACUGGAGAAGAUGCAAAGAGAGAAAAGGUAGAUCAGACGCAAGACCCUAACUCCAGGCCCCCCAAGGAACUGCUCCAGAAACCUGACAUUCCAGCCCCAUGCCCAGGUCAUGCUGAGGGGCCCCAUGUACUCACCUUUCUUCUCUGCAAUGGGGCAGAAGUGAGUGUUGCAGGCCAGGGAGGCCGAAGGCUUCUGGUGCAGGAGGCAGCCUGAGGCCGGCCGGCCCCCAGCCAGGCACUGCACGGACCUCGUCUGAACGCCUCCCCCACAGCUGGCCGUGCACUGUGAGAGCAACACACACAUGUCACCAUGGCCCCAGGCUCUCAGGCACCUGGUCAACCUCAGUGUGCCCACCUUUCUAAAAGGCCUGCUGCUGCAGGCCAGUGAGGGAAGAGCGACUUAGUCGCAGAGGCAGGUGGAGUUAUGGUUGGCCACGAUGUGCGCGAGUGAGCACGGUCCCUGCUCACCUUUUCCAGAAGCAAGCACCAGGCAUGUGCUGGGCCAGGCCUCUAGCAGAGCAUUCCAAACCAACCAGCUGACAUAGCUCCUGGAACCCUUCCUGUUUUCAGAUAGAAGACAGCCUUGAGCCUUGAGCGGUGACAGGACUUGCUCAGGCUGGGAUUUGAACCGCUAGAGUUGGAUUCUAUAGUCUCAACAGACGGUUCCCGGGCUUGGGCUUUGUGGGGGCUGAGUUCACUUUUUAAAAAAGUAAAUAUACUGCCGGGCACGGUGGCUCAUGCCUGUAAUCCCAGCACUUUGGGAGGCUGAGGCGGGUGGAUCACCUGAGGUCAGGAGUUCGAGAUCAGCCUGGGCAACAUGAUGAAACCCCGUCUCUAUUAAAAAAAGAAAAAAAAUUAGCUGGGCCUGGUGGUGGGCACCUGUAAUCCCAGCUACUUGGGAAGCUGAGGCAUGAGAAUCGCCUGAACCUGGGAGGCAGAGGUUGCAGUGAGCUGAGAUCAUGCCACAGCACUUCAGCCUGGGCAACAAGAGCAAAACUCCAUCUCAAAAAUAAAUAAAUAAGUAAGUAAGUAAGUAAGUAUACUGAUUAAAAAAGCUGAUAUUCAUGGAUUGGCAUAUUAUCUCCUCAAAUUACAGGCAGCAAGGAAGAACAAACUUAGAUCCCCCUGCCAAUAAAGUUACCUACAAGUUAUCCUUCUGAUUGAAAAACAUGAAAAGACUUAACAUCUUGGUUUCUAUUUACGGUAUUUCAGAGAACACGGUUGCUGAUGUUACCACCUGGGACCUGGCGCAAAGGUACUUACUUCCCUAACUCUUGUCCCCAGGACCAGCCCUUGUCACUGCUGGUUGGGGUAACCCCUCAUUUCCUCUUGCCUCUGCAUUUGAAAGCACCGCCCCUCCACCCAGACCAUUUGAGGUGGUCUCUCUGUCUACAACUGUGAGUGGCUGGCCAAAAUUAAUCUAGGUAUGGAUAGAAGGAGAAGUGUCUGGAAGUCUAGAGUAUUUUUGAGUGUGUCAAUGAUGGUUGCAUGGCCACAAGGAAACUGGUGCAUAUCUGGGGAUACCAGGCUUGUUCUCUGAGCCUAGCGUGAAAGAAGUAGUGCCCUUCAGGGAAUGCCCUUGACAAGCCACCCUUUCUGGUGGUCCGACGGGGAGAAGCUUGACAAGCCAAUCUUUACAGUGGCACCAUCACCCACAUUCCCAGGCCCCUGAUGCAUGAGGGUGGGCACUGCCAGCUGCUGGGGCUUAUUUUGCUAAGGUGUUGGCAUCCUAUUGAGGCUCCCCCAAUACUUGGAGUAUCAACAGCACAGGGAGAGAGAGGGAAGGAAGGGAGUGAGCUCAGUUAGAUUAUCUUUCAUGAGCUGGCAUAAUGCACAUGCCACAGAACAUGAGCAGGACCCAUCUGAGAUCAACCACUGAAAAUAAAUCAGUGGUUAGGCAGCUAAAGAUACAGAGACACUGGAAUCUGUGAUUGAGUCAUCUGAAAAAUAAAACUACCCACUGUCUAGACUAAAUCAUGUAAAUUGUGCUCAAACGAGGCUAGGGUUGGAAUAUGUUGGAAAUGUAAGCAAUUAAAGGAGCACCUGCAAGAAGAUUGGGUCAGAUAACAUUUUGGAAGUCCUGGUGCAUGGUGGGUGAAAAAAACAACAAAACUGUUGCUUUAAAAUGCAAGGAUCACACUGUGAAAAACUGGGGACAUGCAUGACUCCCUUUGCUGCCCCAAACCUACAAGAGAGUAUGUCAGAGACCAUUCCAGCAAGUGAAGGCAUCAGGCCUGGGGCUGGUUCUCCACAGCCCAAACCAGCCUGCAAGUGAACAACCAGGGACUGAACCUUUCUGGGACCUCCUGCAAUCAGAGCUUUACGAAGUGACUUAAAUCGCUGGGGAUGGGAUUCAGUGAUGGAGCAAGUCAAACAUCUUUAUCUGCCCACUGAGAGGAGAAAAGUUGGAGACACAAAUGGCCCUGAAAGUCACAAGCUGAAACUGUUUGUCUGUUUUUUUCCCCUCUGGAUGAGGAAUGGCUGAGCCCCUGAGCAUGUGUCUGGAACUUAUCUGGGAGGCUUACUCCCUUUGCUUCAAACCCAAUUUUAGAAAAAGUUGCCAACAAUAUAUGACUACGGAAAGUAGAAAAAAUAAUGUGGGGAGAUUCACGUUUGAUUUCAGAAUUAUCAGGGUCACAAGGAUAGAGCCAGAUGUUGCCCAUCACUUAUUACAUCUUUCGGAACAUUCUGCAGAACCACAUUUCUGCCUUUUUUCUCUGCUGUCUGCAUUCCAGACACCCUCUUAGCUCACACAGUGCGCCGAGAACCUUGGGGCUGUGGUCACCCUGCUGAGACAGCAGCUCACAGGAACCCUUUGGCCACAUCCGCAUCCAUCAGUGUCCACAACAUCUUUCGUUUCUUGAGUUAGAUUUAUUUUAUGAUAAGCGGCUCAGGCAGAAUUCCAUUCUUGCUUAAGAUAUGCCUCAAUUAGAAAUCAAGAGAUCUAGCCAUUGGUUUUUUUUUUUGUAUCAUUUAAACAGUUCCAAAAUAAUUAAUAUGUGGUUUGAUUCAUUUUUGUCACUGAUUCACUUAUUCAGCAGAUUUUAAUCACUGAUAUGGUUUGGCUGUGUCCCCACCCAAAUCACAUCUUGAACUGUAGUUCCCAUAAUCCCUAAGUGUCAUAAUCCCAUAAUCCCCGCAUGACCAGGAGGGCAGUAACUGAAUCACGGGGGCAAUUACCCCCAUGCUGUUCUUGUGAUAGUGAGAGAAUUCUCAUGAGAUCUGAUGGUUUUGCAAGGGGCUUUUCCCCCUUUCCUCAGCACUUCUCCUUGCUGCCGUCAUGUGAAGAAGGACGUGUUUGCUUCCCAUUCCACCAUGAUUGUAAGUUUCCUGAGGCCUCUCCAGUCCUGCGGAACUGAAGAAAAAAAUCCAAGUUGUUCCUCAGUCUCCCAAAUACGAUGGCUUAAAACUCAGCACAGCCAUUUAGAAUUCACCUUCCAGGCAUUCCCUUGGUGACUUCCAAACAGACGGAUCCUAAAAAUCACCUGGAGCCUUGACAAUCACACAGACUCCUGCGGGGCAGAGCUCAUCUCUCAAACAAAGGGAACAGAAAAUAAAUACAUGCUAAUUCCUGGAGGCCACAGGCUUCACACAUUUAUUUUCUUACUGUGAAGUCUCUCCUGAGAGGCCUGCUCUAAGUCCCUCUCUUUAUUCACCUUCCUCCUGAGGGCCUUGGUGUGCUCUCUCUCUCCCAGCUUAGAGCUUCUGCCCUGCAACUUUCCACUAUUCCAGGACCAAAUGUCCAUGCUCAUUUCAGGAUGGGAUGGCAGAGACCUCAAUGGCCUCAUUCACAGACACCUCUGCUGUCCACAUAACCGACGUUGUGAAUUUUUGUACAAAUCCCACUGGUUACAAA
rnacentral:lncRNA from 10 species